UUCGAAAGGUAUCCAGAUCCCA
rnacentral:siRNA from 1 species